UCCAGGUCCAAGACUGGGGUUUAGCGGUGUAUGAUAAUGUGAGUGUGAUGUCACAGGAUGCAGCCAUCAACACAAAGCACAUGACAACAAGAGGGAUGGAUACGUUUGGACAAUCUCGCUGCGGAACAUUCACAAACUCCAGCUCGUCAUGCUAUGCUAAUACCGUCGCUAACCCAGCCACAUGGGCACGUCGCCGCCGGCAACGCAGCGCCGCCGGUCACGCGUCGCCGCGUCGUCGCGAGCGGCGGUAAACAUUUCAUCAGGGAUGCAGAUGUCAAUAUUCAAGUUUGCUUGGAUGUUUUGUUUUGUUUUGUUUUUUUUUUUGUUUUGUUUUGCUUUGUCUAUUGUCUUCGGCCUAAUCAUAUAACAAAAGAAUUUAAUUGGCAAUGUCAAACUGCUUAUAUGCUCAUAGAAUAGUUUAUACAAAAUAUUCACUCUCUCCCUUAACAGCAACACUCAAAAAUCCAACAAACAGUUUUAUUAUAUGGAUAAAAAUGUCACUUCCAAACAUUAUUCUGACCUCAGUAGAUUAGAGGAGACAUACAGAAAGGAGGAGUCACUCAGAUUUAGGUGAAAUCUGAAGACACACGAAAAGAAAUUGGGAGGGGGGCUUAGUAGAUUGCAUGGGGGAUUGCACGAGUUGUGAGCCCAGCAGGAGGCCAUGUGCCUCUGGGGAUGGGUUUCCAGGCGUGGCACACCCCAGGGGCGAGACAGACAGACACAGCCACAUAAGGUUAACAUGAUGGUAACGCCGGCCGGCAUCAGCCUUGCCUCCUCUCAUUGCCACGUCCUUGUGUGAAUGCCAGACCUUUGGGUCAGGUGGGAGUGGUUUGUUGGAACACAGUGGGUGGGUAGUGUGGUGCUAAUGCGGUGUAGUGGUAAUCCCACAUGGCACAAGCAAAGCCCCAGGUAGUGUUUUAGACAGGCAGUGGCGACUCUGUGUCAGGGCCAGCCAGGGCUAAUGUGUCAGCUGGGUGUUUCCCCAAAUCAGCCUCGUCCCAGUCCAGGACAGCCCUCAACCGCAAUGCUCUGCUGAAGAUGACAUAUGCUGAAGGCAGAUAUGCUGGAGUGUGUGUGUGUGUGUGUGUGUGUGUGUGUGUGUGUGUGUGUGUGUGUGUGUGUGUGUGUGUGUGUGUGUGUGUGUGUGUGUGUGUGUGUGUUUGUGUGUCACUCAUUCACAUAUAAGCCUGUGUUAGUUUUUACUCCUACAC
rnacentral:lncRNA from 1 species